AGGUGGGAGGAUUGCUUGAGCCUGGGAGAUGGAGGUUGCAGUGAGCUGAGAUUAAGCCACCGCACUCCAGCCUGGGCAACAGAG
ensembl:miRNA